rnacentral:misc_RNA from 1 species
UAUCGAAUUUGGGGAGGGAAGAUGGAAGGGUGAAGACUGUCGCUGGCUAGAUUAGCAUGUGCACGUCUCUCGCCUUUUCAUCUAACCUUUCUCUUUCUCUCACACCUGUGCACCUGUCGUAGGCCCUCGAAAGAGGAUCUAUGUUUUUUCACAUCACACCUGAUUUGCAUGGCCAUAGAAUGUGUCAUAAUGAAAUAAAUACAACUUUCAGCAACGGAUCUCUUGGCUCUCGCAUCGAUGAAGAACGCAGCGAAUUGCGAUAAGUAAUGUGAAUUGCAGAUUUUCAGUGAAUCAUCGAAUCUUUGAACGCACCUUGCGCUCCUUGGUAUUCCGAGGAGCAUGCCUGUUUGAGUGUCAUUGAAUUCUCAACCAUGCCUUUAUUGGAGGGCAUGGCUUGGAGUUUGGGAGGUUGCUGGCGUCGAAGGACGGUCGGCUCUCCUGAAAUGUAUUCGUCGUGGCUGGAGCGUCAGACAUCGACCUUGCCUCAAAUUGCUUCCAAUCAUGGACCGAGUCAAGCUUAGCUACUAGUUGGUCUCAGACUGGUGAAUGCGGCCGGAGCUCGAGUCAAUGAAUGCUUG